rnacentral:rRNA from 1 species
ACGAACGUUAGCGGCGCGCCUAAUACAUGCCAGUCGUGCGAGAAAGGGCUUCGGCCCAGUAAAGCGGCGCACGGGUGAGUAACACGUAGGUUAUCUCCCCUCGAGUGGUGGAUAACCCUCCGAAAAGGAGGGCUAAUACAGCAUGAGACCACGACCUUCUAGGUUGCGGUCAAAGCAGGCCUCUUCAUGAAAGCUUGCGCUCAAGGAUGAGCCUGCGGCCCAUCAGCUAGUUGUAAGGUAACGGCUUACCAAGGCUAAGACGGGUAGCUGGUCUGAGAGGAUGAGCACCACCUGGAACUGAAAACACGGUCCAGACUCCUACGGGAGGCAGCAGUAGGGAAUCUUGCGCAAUGGACGAAAGUCUGACGCAGCGACGCCGCGUGAGCGAUGAAGGCCUUCGGGUUGUAAGCUCUGUGGGGAGAGACGAAUAAGGCAUGGCUAACAUCCACGUCGAUGACUGGUAUCUCCUUAGCAGCACCGGCUAACUCUGUGCCAGCAGCCGCGGUAAGACCGAGGGUGCGAACGUUGUUCGGAAUUACUGGGAGUAAGCGCAUGUAGGCUCGGCAACGCAAGUCGGGCGUGAAUCCCACGGCUCACCGUGGAAGUGCACUCGAAACUGCGUAGCUAGAGUCCUGGAGAGGAAGGUGGAAUGCUUGGUGUAGAGGUGAAAUUCGUAGAUAUCAAGCGGAACACCGGUGGCGAAGGCGGCCUUCUGGGACAGUGACUGACGCUGAGAUGCGAAAGCGUGGGGAGCAACAGGAUUAGAUACCCUGGUAGUCCACGCCGUAAACGAUGAGUGCUAGGUGUCACGGGCUAUUGACCUCGUGGUGCGAAGCUAACGCGUUAAGCACUCCGCCUGGGGAGUACGGCCGCAAGGCUAAAACUCAAGGAAUUGACGGGGGCCCGCACAAGCGGUGGAGCAUGUUGUUUAAUUCGACGCAACGCGAAGGAACCUGUACCUGGCUAGAAAACACGAGAAUCCCGGCGAAAGUUGGGAGUGCCCUUCGGGGAACUCGUGGUUAGGUGCUGCAUGGCUGUCGUCAGCGUCGUGUCGUGAGAUGUUGGGUUAAGUCCCGCACGAGCGCAACCCUUAGCCACUAGUUGCCAUCAUUAGUUGGCACUCUAAGCGGGAACUGCCGGUGAUAAGCCGGAGGAAGGUGGGGAUGACGUCAAGUCAUCAUGGCCUACAGAUGUCCAGGCUACACACGUGCUACAAUGGCCGGUGUGACAAACUGGCAUGCGAACGGCGCGAGAGGGAGCCAAUCCGGAAAAAGCUCGGUCUCAGUUCGAGAAUUGCACUCUGCAACUCGACGUGCCAUGAAGGUUGGAAUCGCUAGUAAUCGCAGAUCAGCACGCUGCGGUGAAUUACGUUCCCGGGCCUUGUACACACCGCCCGUCAAUCACGAAGGUGGGCUUUACUAAGAAGGUGCGCGGCGACUAACCGGAAUGGGACGCAGGUGCACCACGGUAGGGUUCAGUGAUUGGGGUG